GCGCCAGACUCCUACGGGAGGCAGCAGUGGGGAAUAUUGCACAAUGGGGGAAACCCUGAUGCAGUGACGCCGCGUGAGUGAAGAAGUAAUUCGUUAUGUAAAGCUCUAUCAGCAGGGAAGAAAAUGACGGUACCUGAGUAAGAAGCCCCGACUAACUACGUGCCAGCAGCCGCGGUAAUACGUAGGGGGCAAGCGUUAUCCGGAUUUAUUGGGUUUAAAGGGAGCGUAGGCCGGCUUUUAAGUCAGCUGUGAAAGUCCGCGGCUCAACCGUGGAAUUGCAGUUGAAACUGGAGGCCUUGAGUGCACACAGGGAUGCCGGAAUUCAUGGUGUAGCGGUGAAAUGCUUAGAUAUCAUGAAGAACUCCGAUCGCGAAGGCAAGUGUCCGGGGUGCAACUGACGCUGAGGCUCGAAAGUGCGGGUAUCAAACAGGAUUAGAUACCCCCGUAGC
rnacentral:rRNA from 1 species